rnacentral:rRNA from 1 species
AUGGCUGAAAAUUUCCCCAAUCCUAAUAAGGAGGAGAGGGUGUGCUUUGUUCCAUUCCUUCUACGGGGCUUAGGAUUUCCGAUCCAUCCCUUCCUCAGUUUAUUGGAUUUUUAUGGCAUCCAGCUGCACAACCUUACCCCAGGUUCGAUUUUGCACAUCUCAGGUUUCGUUGCCCUCUACGAGCUGUUCUUAGGAAUUGAGGCCCAUUUCGAACUAUGGAGGAAGUUCUUUUGCCUUGUUCCCUGCCAUCGAGUAGGCUCUAUAUUUGAAGUGGGCAGCGCCGAAGUAUGGUGCAUAGCCGGAUCCGGAUACCCCGUUGGAACUCCCAAAGAGUAUAUCCACAGUGGUCCUCGGAGUGGUUUUAUAUGGAUGACGUUCCACUGCCGGAUCCAGUUCGGCGCGGCCUCCCUGAAUUUUCCAACAAUCCUUUAA